rnacentral:rRNA from 1 species
AUUGAACGCUGGCGGCAGGCCUAACACAUGCAAGUCGAACGAGUGGCGGACGGGUGAGUAAUGUCUGGGAAACUGCCUGAUGGAGGGGGAUAACUACUGGAAACGGUAGCUAAUACCGCAUACCAUCAGAUGUGCCCAGAUGGGAUUAGCUUGUUGGUGGGGUAACGGCUCACCAAGGCGACGAUCCCUAGCUGGUCUGAGAGGAUGACCAUACAAACUGGGAUGGAGACAAGGACCAUACUCAUACGGGAGGCAGCAGUGGGGAAUAUUGCACAAGGGGCGAAAGUCUGAUGCAGACAUGCCGCGUGUAUGAAGAAGGUCGUAGGGUUUUAAAGUACUUUCAUCGGGGAGGCGUUACCCGAAGAAGAAGCACCGGCUAACUCAGGGCCAGCAGCCGCGGUAAUAC